CAACUCCUAGUGCUUAUCACAGUCUGGGUUUCUACACUAUACAGGAAGAGGAGACAGAGAAAACCUACCCCAUUACAUAUCCAGUCCGGGCUCUGAGUUUGUUCUGUAUUGUGAAUGGUGAGACAUGA
rnacentral:snoRNA from 1 species